rfam:Phenylobacterium zucineum isolate lbmp16 W1S__single__contig_93536, whole genome shotgun sequence.
GACGAAUCUAUUGCUUGCCAAGCCUGGCGGUUACCGCUGCCGGGGGAGGGCGGUGAAAAGAGGAGUCU